UGCCAGCAGCCGCGGUAAUACGUAAGUGGCAAGCGUUAUCCGGAAUUACUGGGCGUAAAGGACACGUAGGCGGUCUGCCAAGUUGGGGGUGAAAUCUCAGGGCCCAACCCUGAGCCUGCCUUCAAAACUGGUGAACUAGAGUGUUGGAGGGGAGAGCGGUAUUCCAGGUGUAGCGGUGAAAUGCGUAGAUAUCUGGGAGAACACCGAUGGCGAAAGCAGCUCUCUGGCCAAUGUCUGACGCUAAUGUGUGAAAGCGUGGGUAGCGAACAGGAUUAGAUA
rnacentral:rRNA from 1 species